rnacentral:rRNA from 1 species
CCUACGGGGGGCAGCAGUGGGGAAUAUUGGACAAUGUGGGCAACCCUGAUCCAGCCAUGCCGCGUGUGUGAAGAAGGCCCUCGGGUUGUAAAGCACUUUCAGUGAGGAAGAACGCCUGGUGGUUAAUACCCAUCAGGAAAGACAUCACUCACAGAAGAAGCACCGGCUAACUCCGUGCCAGCAGCCGCGGUAAUACGGAGGGUGCGAGCGUUAAUCGGAAUUACUGGGCGUAAAGCGCGCGUAGGUGGCUUGAUAAGCCGGUUGUGAAAGCCCCGGGCUCAACCUGGGAACGGCAUCCGGAACUGUCAAGCUAGAGUGCAGGAGAGGAAGGUAGAAUUCCCGGUGUAGCGGUGAAAUGCGUAGAGAUCGGGAGGAAUACCAGUGGCGAAGGCGGCCUUCUGGACUGACACUGACACUGAGGUGCGAAAGCGUGGGUAGCAAACAGGAUUAGAUACCCGAGUAGUC